rnacentral:ncRNA from 2 species
CAAGCGCUCCGGGGUCGGUGCAAGUCCGAACCGGUGGUGACAGUCCACGAGCUGACGACGGGUGAACUCCCGACCGAUGCUGACCCGGUGGGAUUCCGGGACCGACGGUGAGAGUCCGGAUGGUAGGCGCGCUGG